CUGUCACCCUAAGUACAAAUGUAUAAACUAACUUAAGUGUAUAAACUCAAUCUUUUUUUUUUAAGUAUAUCACAUACACAGUAAAUUGAUACAGUGCUCUCAUCUUAAGAGUACUGUUUGAUGAAUUUUUACAUUUGUAUAUACCAUGUGAACUCCCUGAAUCUUCACUAAGAGCCCUACACUGCUUAUUCCCAUUUUACAGAUAUGCAGACUGAAGCACACUGAGAUGCUAACACUGUCUGCAUGCUGUUAGCCACACAGUACUGCCUCAGGGAUCUAGUCCAUCAAGACAGUGGCUGAAGUCACUGAGAAGUCCCCAAGAGGCCACUUGAAGAUUCUGGCUCAGGGGGAACUUGGUAUUCAUUUGCCCAGAAUGGAAACUCCGAGGAGAAAUACAGAAUGUCUUCUUUACUAAAGAACCUCCAGCCUUGGGAACAAUGCCUGGCACAUGGUGGACCUUCCAAAACAAUCUGUUGAAUGUAUGCGAUCUUCCAAAAGCUCUGCAAGAUUCCAGUGUUGCAGAUGAGUGGUCUAUUGCCAGUCUCCUUCACUGUUUUUGGUGGAAAGGUGAUUGGAAUAUACCACAUCUGAACAUGUCUGGAGAGGAAUAAGACUAUUAGUUUGAGGACUCAGGGCUGCUCUGUUACACCAUGGACCCUGCCCAGGCCAGCAGAAACAAUACUAAGUGGGGAAUGGGCUCCAGGACCAACCCUGCCACCUACUGAUGUGAGGCCAGUUACUUGACCUUUCUGAGCUUCAGGUUCCCUUCUGAAAAAUGAAUAACAUCAUCUGUCUGCCUCCUUUACAGGGGAGGAUCACAUGACACACUGAUCCCUAGAACUGAUGCCCCUACUCAGUGUACAUGAUUAGCCAUUUCAAGUACCCUAUGGAAAGAUGAACAAUGUCCUCUGUUCUUUUUCAAGUUUGUGGAGUAUGCAAAAAGGAUGUCCAGUCCACAUGGAGAACCCGUGGGUUUGUGAGGUAUUCAUUCAUCCUACCGCAAACAUUCACUGAUCACCAUGCUUGUGCUAGUUUUACCAGCCAAGGAGGACACCCAAAAACUAACAUCUCUUCCCAUGACCAGACUUUGAAAGGGGAAGUAGAGUAUAUUUCUUAGCGAGCUAUUGCUUGAGGCGGUUCACCUUGGGAAGGGUAGUUGUUUGCUGGGAAGGAUGGACUAGGGUGUCUGGAGAGAACUUUCAGUCCAGAGAGGAUGGGGCAAAAUCCUCCGGGGUAUCUGGAAAGGCCACUGAGCAUGCCAAAUAAGAUAAAGAAAGGGUCCUAUACUAGAAAACAGAACUUGAUUGCUAAAGACCUUUCCCAUUCUUUCUGUCCCUGAGACAGUGCAGGGCCUUGGAAGAGAUAAAAGUAAGACCACAAGGUCAAAAUAUGUUGCAGAUGUGGUGUUGUUUUAUUAUUAUUAUUAUUAUUUUUUUGCAAAGAGCGGGGGCAGCGAGGAAGACAUAGGCAGUCCUUGGAAAUGUUUACAAAAUGGUGAAUCCCGGUGUGGGCCAGAUGCAGGUGUAGAAUGAGACAUGGGGUAUCCAGAAGGCAGAUCAGAGGGUGGGUGCUGAUCAGUCUGGGAGUGGGUUACCUAUCAUUCUAGAACAGGGUCAGCAAACUUUGUAAAGGGCCAUGUGAUAGGCUGAAUAAUGAUCUCCCAAAGAUAUCCACAUCCUAAUCCCCAAAACUUGUAAAGAGUUUCUUAUUGGAAAAAGCGUUUUUGCAGGUGUAAUUAAAUUAAGGAUCUCGAGACAGAGAGAUUAUCCUGGGUGGGCUCUAAAUGUCAUCCCAUGGAUCCUUAUUAGAGGAAGGCCAAGGGAGGACUAACACUCACACAUGAGCACACGUGUGCAUGUGUCAACCUCCUCCCGGAGGGCCACGUGAAGAUAGAAACAGAGGUAGGGGAGAUGAAACCACAAGCCAAAGAGUGUUGGUGACAACCAGAAACUGGAAGAGGCAAGGAAGGGAUUCUCCCCUAGAGUCUCCAGAGAGAGUUCA